AGCGAACGCUGGCGGCGGGCCUAACACAUGCAAGUCGAACGAACUCUUCGGAGUUAGUGGCGGACGGGUGAGUAACACGUGGGAACGUGCCUUUAGGUUCGGAAUAACUCAGGGAAACUUGUGCUAAUACCGAAUGUGCCCUUCGGGGGAAAGAUUUAUCGCCUUUAGAGCGGCCCGCGUCUGAUUAGCUAGUUGGUGAGGUAAAGGCUCACCAAGGCGACGAUCAGUAGCUGGUCUGAGAGGAUGAUCAGCCACAUUGGGACUGAGACACGGCCCAAACUCCUACGGGAGGCAGCAGUGGGGAAUCUUGCGCAAUGGGCGAAAGCCUGACGCAGCCAUGCCGCGUGAAUGAUGAAGGUCUUAGGAUUGUAAAAUUCUUUCACCGGGGACGAUAAUGACGGUACCCGGAGAAGAAGCCCCGGCUAACUUCGUG
rnacentral:rRNA from 1 species